UAGUGAACCAGUACCGUGAGGGAAAGGUGAAAAGCACCCCGGAAGGGGAGUGAAAGAGAACUUGAAACCGUGUGCUUACAAGUAGUCAGAGCCCGUUAAUGGGUGAUGGCGUGCCUUUUGUAGAAUGAACCGGCGAGUUACGAUCUGAUGCAAGGUUAAGCAGCAAAUGUGGAGCCGCAGCGAAAGCGAGUCUGAAUAGGGCGUUGAGUAUUUGGUCGUAGACCCGAAACCAGGUGAUCUACCCUUGGUCAGGUUGAAGUUCAGGUAACACUGAAUGGAGGACCGAACCGACUUACGUUGAAAAGUGAGCGGAUGAACUGAGGGUAGCGGAGAAAUUCCAAUCGAACUUGGAGAUAGCUGGUUCUCUCCGAAAUAGCUUUAGGGCUAGCCUCAAGUGAUGAUUAUUGGAGGUAGAGCACUGUUUGGACGAGGGGCCCCUCUCGGGUUACCGAAUUCAGACAAACUCCGAAUGCCAAUUAAUUUAACUUGGGAGUCAGAACAUGGGUGAUAAGGUCCGUGUUCGAAAGGGAAACAGCCCAGACCACCAGCUAAGGUCCCAAAAUAUAUGUUAAGUGGAAAAGGAUGUGGGGUUGCACAGACAACUAGGAUGUUGGCUUAGAAGCAGCCACCAUUUAAAGAGUGCGUAAUAGCUCACUAGUCGAGUGACACUGCGCCGAAAAUGUACCGGGGCUAAACAUAUUACCGAAGCUGUGGAUUGUCCUUUGGACAAUGGUAGGAGAGCGUUCUAAGGGCGUCGAAGCAUGAUCGCAAGGACAUGUGGAGCGCUUAGAAGUGAGAAUGCCGGUGUGAGUAGCGAAAGACGGGUGAGAAUCCCGUCCACCGAUUGACUAAGGUUUCCAGAGGAAGGCUCGUCCGCUCUGGGUUAGUCGGGUCCUAAGCUGAGGCCGACAGGCGUAGGCGAUGGAUAACAGGUUGAUAUUCCUGUACCACCUAGUAUCGUUUUAAUCGAUGGGGGGACGCAGUAGGAUAGGCGAAGCGUGCUGUUGGAGUGCACGUCCAAGCAGUAAGGCUGAGUGUUAGGCAAAUCCGGCACUCAUAAGGCUGAGCUGUGAUGGGGAGAGGAAAUUGUUUCCUCGAGUCGUUGAUUUCACACUGCCGAGAAAAGCCUCUAGAUAGAUAACAGGUGCCCGUACCGCAAACCGACACAGGUAGUCAAGAUGAGAAUUCUAAGGUGAGCGAGCGAACUCUCGUUAAGGAACUCGGCAAAAUGACCCCGUAACUUCGGGAGAAGGGGUGCUGACUUCGGUCAGCCGCAGUGAAUAGGCCCAAGCGACUGUUUAUCAAAAACACAGGUCUCUGCAAAAUCGUAAGAUGAAGUAUAGGGGCUGACGCCUGCCCGGUGCUGGAAGGUUAAGAGGAUGGGUUAGCUUCGGCGAAGCUCAGAAUUGAAGCCCCAGUAAACGGCGGCCGUAACUAUAACGGUCCUAAGGUAGCGAAAUUCCUUGUCGGGUAAGUUCCGACCCGCACGAAAGGCGUAACGAUUUGGGCACUGUCUCAACGAGAGACUCGGUGAAAUCAUAGUACCUGUGAAGAUGCAGGUUACCCGCGACAGGACGGAAAGACCCCGUGGAGCUUUACUGUAGCCUGAUAUUGAAAUUCGGCACAGCUUGUACAGGAUAGGUAGGAGCCUUUGAAACGUGAGCGCUAGCUUACGUGGAGGCGUUGGUGGGAUACUACCCUAGCUGUGUUGGCUUUCUAACCCGCACCACUUAUCGUGGUGGGAGACAGUGUCAGGCGGGCAGUUUGACUGGGGCGGUCGCCUCCUAAAAGGUAACGGAGGCGCUCAAAGGUUCCCUCAGAAUGGUUGGAAAUCAUUCGAAGAGUGUAAAGGCAGAAGGGAGCUUGACUGCGAGACCUACAAGUCGAGCAGGGACGAAAGUCGGGCUUAGUGAUCCGGUGGUUCCGCAUGGAAGGGCCAUCGCUCAACGGAUAAAAGCUACCCUGGGGAUAACAGGCUUAUCUCCCCCAAGAGUCCACAUCGACGGGGAGGUUUGGCACCUCGAUGUCGGCUCGUCGCAUCCUGGGGCUGUAGUCGGUCCCAAGGGUUGGGCUGUUCGCCCAUUAAAGCGGUACGCGAGCUGGGUUCAGAACGUCGUGAGACAGUUCGGUCCCUAUCCGUCGUGGGCGUAGGAAAUUUGAGAGGAGCUGUCCUUAGUACGAGAGGACCGGGAUGGACAUACCUCUGGUGUACCAGUUGUCGUGCCAACGGCAUAGCUGGGUAGCUAUGUAUGGACGGGAUAAGUGCUGAAAGCAUCUAAGCAUGAAGCCCCCCUCAAGAUGAGAUUUCCCAACUUCGGUUAUAAGAUCCCUCGAAGAUGACGAGGUUAAUAGGUUCGAGGUGGAAGCGUGGUGACACGUGGAGCUGACGAAUACUAAUCGAUCGAAGACUUAAUC
rnacentral:rRNA from 1 species